GAUGAAGAACGUAGCGAAAUGCGAUAAGUAAUGUGAAUUGCAGAAUUCAGUGAAUCAUCGAAUCUUUGAACGCACAUUGCGCCCGUCAGUAUUCUGGCGGGCAUGCCUGUUCGAGCGUCAUUACGCCCCUCAAGUCCCCUGUGGACUUGGUGUUGGGGAUCGGCGAGGCUGGUUUUCCAGCACAGCCGUCCCUUAAAUUAAUUGGAGGUCUCGCCGUGGCCCUCCUCUGCGCAGUAGUAAAACACUCGCAACAGGAGCCCGGCGCGGUCCACUGCCGUAAAACCCCCCAACUUUUUAUAGUUGACCUCGAAUCAGGUAGGACUACCCGCUGAACUUAAGCAUAUCAAUAAGCGGAGGA
rnacentral:misc_RNA from 1 species